GACCUGUAUCUCGUACUUUCGAAUUCCCGCGAUUUAUUCGUGUGGUUUUCGUCAUUAUUGUACUAGAUAUAUAUGCUGGUGGAUGUUUAGAAAUUGUAUGUUAUAGGCGGCGAACGUUUCGUUCGGUUGCUAUUCGUACGAUUUCGAUAUUCGAUACGAUGAGUUUGAUAUUAAUUUUCACUGAAUCGAAACACAAGACGGUCGUCAACUGAGAAUGUAUCGUUUUUCUUUUUUCCAAAGGAAGAGCGUACGUUUGCUUGAGGUUGUUCGAUAAGUUUCUAGUUUUCGUCUUUUGGUGAAAUGCUUGGAUUCAAUCGUAUUCUGGCUGCGUUGAAAUUGUUGCGGUCCAGAGAUGCAAUUUUGUAAAAAAAAUUGUGUUGUCGCGCUCGUUUUUGGCCUGUCGGACCAGCGAAAUUACUUUGAACAAAUUAGAGUGCUUAAAGCAGGCAAAUUUUAUGCCUUGAAUAUAAACAGCAUGGAAUAAUAGAAUAUGAUCUCGAUACUGUUUGUUUAAUGAUUUUUUUUCCGUUAAAAUUUCAUUUAUCGUCCGUGACGCUAAAUGGGAUAAUGUAAUGGAAAAAAGCAUUUUUCGUUUUUAAAAUAUGCGUAAAAGUGUGUCUUUAGAGGCGAAAUAAAAUUGGCUUAAAGUGAACAAUAGUAGAAAAUCUUAAUCGAUUUUCUUUUUGUUCACGACAGUAU
rnacentral:rRNA from 1 species